GUCGUCUUCUCAGGCAGCAUCCACUUUAUUAAGUUUUUAUCCUUUCGUUUCUUUUAUUCGUUGCAGUUCAUUCCGUUAUAUCUGAAGGAAAUCGACCUUUUCAGAUACAAGGUAAAAGAGAGAAAUUAAAAGAUUUUGCACUCCACCUUGUUUCCACCUUGUGUUAAUUCACCGGCCCACACCACCGGAGAUGGAAACCGCAUACGUUCGUAGUAUUUAUGCAGUCGGGUAUCGAGAUCGGGACGUGUAAUAGGUAGAUACAUUGGCAGUGAAUCAAUUUAAGGAUUUCCAAAAAGCGUGACAGUUUAAAACCAGUGCAUUUGUGGUACGAUAUGUUCGUUGUCGAAAAUGAGAUGGGAACGAGGACGACAACGACGACAACAAGAAAAAUUUCAAGGCAGAGAUAAUCAAAAGACUUAAGACAGUUUGGUGAUACCGUUUGGGUUGUCGUUGGGUGGAAUCUUUUAUAUUCCUUUGGAUCUUCCUCGCAAGCUUACUGAUAUUUGCGAUUUGAGGAGCAUCAACUGAAUCUGACAUAAAGGAAAGAGUUGAAGGGACAAAUACAUGAUGUUGACCAGAUGGCUCUUAUAGCUAUCAUUAGGUUUGCAGUUCAUUUUUCCAGGACCAGCAGUUAUUUUUUGAUUACGAUAACCCUCAAGCCAACUAAAUGAGAGGACAGACCAGUGACGAUUUCUUAUUUCGUUGUUCCGAGUUUUUUCAAUCAGCAUCUCGGGAUCAGAUUUCAGGGUUUGCUAACCACAUUUGAAUGUCAUUACCAAAAGCGAAUGGUUUCCAUACCGCCACCAAGUCAUACUUGAUGGGAAACGUAGAGGAGGAUGAAUGCACGUGAUUAGUACUCUUGAAUAUCGGACAUAUGCAAA